CCUAAGAGAUACGUGUUAUGUGCAGUGCUCACACAGAUUGUCUGAUGAAGAACGAGCAAAAGCGCGUCUGCGAAGCUGACAAAAGUCCCUUUCGUCUAGAGGCCUAGGACACCGCCCUUUCACGGCGGUAACAGGGGUUCGAAUCCCCUAGGGGACGCCAAUGCGCGGUAUGAGUGAAAGGCGUACCACUUAUCUGACGAAAGUCAGAGAAUAAUUAAGCUAAUUCAAAUGAGUUAUCUUACUUAUUAUGCUCUUUAACAAUCUGGAACAAGCUGAAAAAUUGAAAACAAAUCAAUAUAUCACCGAGGUAUAUUGAUGAGUCUCUCAAAAUCUCAAACCUUAAAGUUUGUCACGCAAAGUUUAUCUUUGAAAAAGACACUUUCGGGUUGUGA
rnacentral:misc_RNA from 1 species